GAUGAACGCUGGCGGCGUGCCUAAUACAUGCAAGUCGAGCGAACGGACGAGAAGCUUGCUUCUCUGAUGUUAGCGGCGGACGGGUGAGUAACACGUGGAUAACCUACCUAUAAGACUGGGAUAACUUCGGGAAACCGGAGCUAAUACCGGAUAAUAUUUUGAACCGCAUGGUUCAAAAGUGAAAGACGGUCUUGCUGUCACUUAUAGAUGGAUCCGCGCUGCAUUAGCUAGUUGGUAAGGUAACGGCUUACCAAGGCAACGAUGCAUAGCCGACCUGAGAGGGUGAUCGGCCACACUGGAACUGAGACACGGUCCAGACUCCUACGGGAGGCAGCAGUAGGGAAUCUUCCGCAAUGGGCGAAAGCCUGACGGAGCAACGCCGCGUGAGUGAUGAAGGUCUUCGGAUCGUAAAACUCUGUUAUUAGGGAAGAACAUAUGUGUAAGUAACUGUGCACAUCUUGACGGUACCUAAUCAGAAAGCCACGGCUAACUACGUGCCAGCAGCCGCGGUAAUACGUAGGUGGCAAGCGUUAUCCGGAAUUAUUGGGCGUAAAGCGCGCGUAGGCGGUUUUUUAAGUCUGAUGUGAAAGCCCACGGCUCAACCGUGGAGGGUCAUUGGAAACUGGAAAACUUGAGUGCAGAAGAGGAAAGUGGAAUUCCAUGUGUAGCGGUGAAAUGCGCAGAGAUAUGGAGGAACACCAGUGGCGAAGGCGACUUUCUGGUCUGUAACCAACGCUGAUGUGCGAAAGCGUGGGGAUCAAACAGGAUUAGAUACCCUGGUAGUCCACGCCGUAAACGAUGAGUGCUAAGUGUUAGGGGGUUUCCGCCCCUUAGUGCUGCAGCUAACGCAUUAAGCACUCCGCCUGGGGAGUACGACCGCAAGGUUGAAACUCAAAGGAAUUGACGGGGACCCGCACAAGCGGUGGAGCAUGUGGUUUAAUUCGAAGCAACGCGAAGAACCUUACCAAAUCUUGACAUCCUUUGACAACUCUAGAGAUAGAGCUUUCCCCUUCGGGGGACAAAGUGACAGGUGGUGCAUGGUUGUCGUCAGCUCGUGUCGUGAGAUGUUGGGUUAAGUCCCGCAACGAGCGCAACCCUUAAGCUUAGUUGCCAUCAUUAAGUUGGGCACUCUAAGUUGACUGCCGGUGACAAACCGGAGGAAGGUGGGGAUGACGUCAAAUCAUCAUGCCCCUUAUGAUUUGGGCUACACACGUGCUACAAUGGACAAUACAAAGGGCAGCGAAACCGCGAGGUCAAGCAAAUCCCAUAAAGUUGUUCUCAGUUCGGAUUGUAGUCUGCAACUCGACUACAUGAAGCUGGAAUCGCUAGUAAUCGUAGAUCAGCAUGCUACGGUGAAUACGUUCCCGGGUCU
rnacentral:rRNA from 1 species